UACGUAGGGACCAAGCGUUGUUCGGAUUCAUUGGGCGUAAAGGGCGCGUAGGCGGCGGGGUAAGUCGGGUGUGAAAUCUCAGGGCUCAACCCUGAAACUGCACUCGAUACUGCUCUGCUUGAGGACUGGAGAGGAGACUGGAAUUCACGGUGUAGCAGUGAAAUGCGUAGAGAUCGUGAGGAAGACCAGUGGCGAAGGCGGGUCUCUGGACAGUUCCUGACGCUGAGGCGCGAAGGCCAGGGGAGCAAACGGG
rnacentral:rRNA from 1 species